rnacentral:rRNA from 1 species
AUUGAACGCUGGCGGCAGGCCUAACACAUGCAAGUCGAACGAGUGGCGGACGGGUGUGUAAUGUCUGGGAAACUGCCUGAUGGCGGGGGAUAACUACUGGAAACGGUAGCUAAUCCCGCAUACCAUCAGCUGUGCCCAGAUGGCAUUCGCGUGUUGGUGGGGUAACGGCUCACCAAGGCGACGAUCCAUAGCGGGUCUGAGAGGAUGACCAGCCAAACUGGAACUGAGACACGGUCCAGACUCCUACGGGAGGCAGCAGUGGGGAAUAUUGCACAAUGGGCGCAAGCCUGACGCAGCCAUGCCGCGUGAAUGAAGAAGGUCUUCGGGUCGUAAAGUACUUUCAGCGGGGAGGCGGUACCCGCAGAGGAAGCACCGGCUAACUACGUGCCAGCAGCCGCGGUAAUUC